UACGAAGGGGGCUAGCGUUGUUCGGAUUUACUGGGCGUAAAGCGCACGUAGGCGGAUUGUUAAGUGAGGGGUGAAAUCCUGGAGCUCAACUCCAGAACUGCCUUUCAUACUGGCAAUCUAGAGUCCGGAAGAGGUAAGUGGAACUCCUAGUGUAGAGGUGGAAUUCGUAGAUAUUAGGAAGAACACCAGUGGCGAAGGCGGCUUACUGGUCCGGUACUGACGCUGAGGUGCGAAGCGUGGGGAGCGAAACCGGA
rnacentral:rRNA from 1 species